GUCGAACGGUAGAGGGGGCAACCCCUCGAGAGUGGCGAACGGGUGAGUAAUAUAUCGGAACGUGCCCAGUCGUGGGGGAUAACGUAGCGAAAGUUACGCUAAUACCGCAUACGAUCUACGGAUGAAAGCGGGGGAUCGCAAGACCUCGCGCGAUUGGAGCGGCCGAUAUCAGAUUAGGUAGUUGGUGGGGUAAAGGCUCACCAAGCCAACGAUCUGUAGCUGGUCUGAGAGGACGACCAGCCACACUGGAACUGAGACACGGUCCAGACUCCUACGGGAGGCAGCAGUGGGGAAUUUUGGACAAUGGACGCAAGUCUGAUCCAGCCAUUCCGCGUGCAGGAUGAAGGCCCUCGGGUUGUAAACUGCUUUUGUACGGAACGAAAAGGUUUCUAUUAAUACUAGGAGCUCAUGACGGUACCGUAAGAAUAAGCACCGGCUAACUACGUCCCAGCAGCCGCGGUAAUACGUAGGGUGCAAGCGUUAAUCGGAAUUACUGGGCGUAAAGCGUGCGCAGGCGGUUAUGUAAGACAGAGGUGAAAUCCCCGGGCUCAACCUGGGAACUGCCUUUGUGACUGCAUAGCUAGAGUACGGUAGAGGGGGAUGGAAUUCCGCGUGUAGCAGUGAAAUGCGUAGAUAUGCGGAGGAACACCGAUGGCGAAGGCAAUCCCCUGGACCUGUACUGACGCUCAUGCACGAAAGCGUGGGGAGCAAACAGGAUUAGAUACCCUGGUAGUCCACGCCCUAAACGAU
rnacentral:rRNA from 1 species